UACGUAGGGGGCUAGCGUUGUCCGGAAUCAUUGGGCGUAAAGAGCUCGUAGGCGGCUUGUCACGUCGGGUGUGAAAGCCCGGGGCUUAACCCCGGGUCUGCAUUCGAUACGGGCAGGCUAGAGUGUGGUAGGGGAGAUCGGAAUUCCUGGUGUAGCGGUGAAAUGCGCAGAUAUCAGGAGGAACACCGGUGGCGAAGGCGGAUCUCUGGGCCAUUACUGACGCUGAGGAGCGAAAGCGUGGGGAGCGAACAGG
rnacentral:rRNA from 1 species